UCAGCCCUAAACACAAAUAAUUUUAAAAACAAAAUUAUUCGCCAGAGUACUACCGGCAACAGCCUAAAACUCAAAGGACUUGGCGGUGCUUUAUACCCUUCUAGAGGAGCCUGUUCUAUAAUCGAUAAACCCCGAUAGACCUCACCAAUUCUUGCUAAUACAGUCUAUAUACCGCCAUCUUCAGCAAACCCUAAAAAGGAACAAAAGUAAGCGCAAUCAUAACACAUAAAAACGUUAGGUCAAGGUGUAACCUAUGAAAUGGGAAGAAAUGGGCUACAUUUUCUACUUCAAGAAAACCCACACACGAAAGUUAUUAUGAAACUAAUAACCAAAGGAGGAUUUAGUAGUAAACUAAGAAUAGAGUGCUUAGUUGAACUAGGCCAUGAAGCACGC
rnacentral:rRNA from 1 species